rnacentral:rRNA from 1 species
CCUACGGGAGGCAGCAGUGAGGAAUAUUGGUCAAUGGACGAGAGUCUGAACCAGCCAAGUAGCGUGAAGGAUGACUGCCCUAUGGGUUGUAAACUUCUUUUAUAAAGGAAUAAAACGAGGCACGUGUGCCUUUUUGCAUGUACUUUAUGAAUAAGGAUCGGCUAACUCCGUUCCAGCCGCCGCGGUAAUACGGAGGAUCCGAGCGUUUUCCGGAUUUAUUGGGUUUAACGGGAGCGUAGAUGGGUUGUUCAGUCAGUUGUGAAAGUUUGCGGCUCAACCGUAAAAUUGCAAUUGAUACUUGCAGUCUUGAGUACAGUUGAGGUAGGCGGAAUUCGUGGUGUAGCGGUGAAAUGCUUAGAUAUCACGAAGAACCCCGAUUGCGAAGGCAGCUUACUAAACUGUGACUGACAUUGAUGCUCGAAAGUGUGGGUAUCAAACAGGAUUAGAUACCCUUGUAGUC